CGUAACGACUCUCGGCAACGGAUAUCUCGGCUCUCGCAUCGAUGAAGAACGUAGCAAAAUGCGAUACGUGGUGUGAAUUGCAGGAUCCCGUGAACCAUCGAGUUUUUGAACGCAAGUUGCGCCCGAAGCCUUUAGGCCGAGGGCACGUCUGCCUGGGCGUCACGC
rnacentral:rRNA from 8 species